rnacentral:rRNA from 1 species
UGAAUACGAGAUGCUACGGCGUCGAAGCAGUGUAUGUCAGACUUCCAAGAAAAGCUCGCAAUGUCAUAAAUAAAGAAUGCCUGUACCAUAACCGACACAGGUGGGUAGGUAGAGUAUACUAAGGGGCGCGAGAUAACUCUCUCUAAGGAACUCGGCAAAAUAACUCCGUAACUUCGGGAGAAGGAGUGCCUUCUUUAUGAAGGUUGCAAUAACAAGAUCCAAGCAACUGUUUAUCAAAAACACAGGUCUCCGCUAAGUCGUAAGACGAUGUAUGGGGGCUGACGCCUGCCCAGUGCCAGAAGGUUAAAGAAGUUGGUUAGCUUUUGCGAAGCUGAUGACUGAAGCCCUGGUGAACGGCGGCCGUAACGAUAACGGUCCUAAGGUAGCGAAAUUCCUUGUCGGGUAAGUCCCGACCCGCACGAAAGGCGUAAUGAUUUGGAUACUGUUUCGGAGAGGGACUCGGUGAAAUAGACUUGUCUGUGAAGAUGCGGACUACCUGCACCAGGACAGAAAGACCCUAUGAAGCUUUACUGUAACUUGAAAUUGAAAUUGGACUUUAUUUGCGCAGUAUAGGUGGAAGGCGUUGAAAGUAAUCUUGCGGGAUUAGUGGAGCCAUUAGUGAGAUACCACUCCUAUAAUGUUAGAUUUCUAACUUUGGAUCAUGAUCUGGUCAAAGAACAGUUUCAGGCGGGCAGUUUGACUGGGGCGGUCGCCUCCCAAAUGGUAACGGAGGCGUACAAAGGUAUCCUCUGAACGGGUAGAAAUCGUAUCUAGAGUGUAAAGGCAUAAGGAAGCUUGACUGUGAGACCUACAAGUCGAGCAGGGACGAAAGUCGGUCUUAGUGAUCUGACGGUGCUGAGUGGAAAGGCCGUCACUCAACGGAUAAAAGUUACUCUAAGGAUAACAGGCUGAUCUCCCCCAAGAGUUCACAUCGACGGGGAGGUUUGGCACCUGGAUGUCGGCUCAUCGCAUCCUGGGGCGGUAGUACGUCCCAAGGGUUGGGCUGUUCGCCCAUGAAAGCGGUACGCGAGCUGGGUUCAGAACGUCGUGAGACAGUUCGGUCCAUAUCCGGUGUAGGCGUUAGAAUAUUGAGAGGAGCCUUCUUUAGUACGAGAGGACCGAGAAGGACAUACCUCUGGUGUACCAGUUAUCGUGCCAACGGUAAACGCUGGGUAGCUAUGUAUGGAGAGGAUAACCGCUGAAAGCAUCUAAGUGGGAAGCCCACCUCAAGAUGAGUAUUCAC